AACGAACGCUGGCGGCAGGCUUAACACAUGCAAGUCGAGCGCCCCGCAAGGGGAGCGGCAGACGGGUGAGUAACGCGUGGGAAUCUACCCAUCUCUACGGAAUAACGCAUGGAAACGUGUGCUAAUACCGUAUACGUCCUUCGGGAGAAAGAUUUAUCGGAGAUGGAUGAGCCCGCGUUGGAUUAGAUAGUUGGUGGGGGAAAGGCCUACCAAGGCGACGAUCCAUAGCUGGACUGAGAGGAUGAUCAGCCACACUGGGACUGAGACACGGCCCAGACUCCUACGGGGGGCAGCACUGGGGAAUAUUGGAAAAUGGGCGCAAGCCUGAUCCAGCCAUGCCGCGUGAGUGAUGAAGGCCCUAGGAUUGUAAAGCUCUUUCACCGGUGAAGAUAAUGACGGUAACCGGAGAAGAAGCCCCGGCUAACUUCGUGCCAGCCGCCGCGGUAAGAC
rnacentral:rRNA from 1 species